rnacentral:lncRNA from 1 species
CCGCCAGAUAAAAGUUUUUAUAACGAUCACGUGACCAAUUACCAUCCUAGUUGAAAUACCAUCCGGUGCGUAUUUACUAAGGUAACAAACAUAUUUUCUUAAUGUGUAUAUGAAUAAUUAUGCAAGCAAAUGCAAGUAGACAUUUAAAAUGAUUUAUUUGUAAAUAUUGACAGGCCUACAUGUACGUAUUUACCUUUGAAAAUAUCUACUUUCGUUUAAUGUCAGCUAGCUGUGUUGUUAUGUAUUUAUUUUGUUUUUCUGUCGUAUUUGGGAUACAAUUGAAAAAAUGACAUACUUUUGUGUCGUUUUACAUUUGGUCAUGUUGGUUCUAUUGUAGAUUACUUCAUGAUAUGGAUUUUUACAUUGUUGCAUACAAUACGAUGACGCGUAUGUCAUGUGAUAUCUUGUGGAUCAAUAAUAACUUCAUAUUUUUGUUUUUAUUUUUACAUUGAUAGUUUCUUUGUUUAUGUCUUAUUCAAGUGACAAUUUUUAUUUUUGUUUGUCGUUAAAAAGAUAUCUUCACCAGGAACACUGGAAGCUAGUAAGUGUAAAUGUACAUAAACAAGUACGAGAAAUAUGGUUCAAAGGGACAUAAUUAAGCCAAAUCCAUCAAAUAUAUUAUGGGCCAUAUAAUAUUCGAGUUUGGCAUCUUAUAGUCAUUAUGAUUUAGAAAGAAGGUAUGAACGAAGUUGACAUUGCAACAAUUAUUAUAAUUAUUCCAGACUAUGAAAACAAUGUUGAUUAAAUAAAUAAAUGAACAGGUUAAUAUAAGCUGGACACUUAAGUGCAGAAAGGAUCCUCUGGUUUUAUAAAUACUUCAACUUAUUAAACAAAUGCACUUUACAUAUUUAUGAUAUAGUUCUUGAAAAACAUAUGUGAACAAAGGAUUUAUACAAAAAUAUGUUUUACACAAAUUAACAUUUUAUUUAAUACAAUUUGUUACAAAAAUCAUUUUGGUAGAUGUCCCUGUUCCACUCUAAAUACUUUGGAAAAUAUCUCUACAAACUAUAGACUGUUUCAGGAUUUUUAAAGAUUGUUUUUAACAAAGAAGUUUACAACCUGAUAACAAUGCAAAUAGGUCAGACAGAAUACAAAACUAUCAUUACUAAUAAGUAUAAGCCAAAUGUCUAACAAACAAUUGUUGCAUGCUAUUUACUACAUGUAGGUUUUAAUUACUUUUUUAUUUUCAAGUUCAAGUGCACAAAAUGUUACCGCCUCCUUUAUCUACAUAUUGACAAAUAUUUUCAACAAAACAAAAUAAUUUGGGAACUUGUAUAUCUUUAAAAAAAGUUAUAUUGUAGACCGGGGAAGUUCUUCUGAACAAUAGCCUUAAUUAUAUUUGAUUUGAUAUUAUCUUGCAGUUUUGUGAUAUGGCCUCAUCCUCCCAAAGUUGUGGUGUGUGUGACCUCCGACACAAACAACAACCAUCAUAAUCUGGUGUACGGAAUGUGAUGAAGGACUUUGUCAAGAUUGUCAGGAACACCAUAGUUUAUCCAAGGGAACCAGAAACCAUAACACCAUAACAAUAAAGGAAUAUAAAACAUUACCAAGUGAAGUACUUAAAAUCUCUCAAUACUGUAGCACACACAAUGACAAAUUUAUAAUGUAUUGCCGGAAACACGAACGUCCCUGCUGCAGAAACUGUAUAGUGGAAACUCAUAAAGAAUGCCCGGAUAUCGAUAAAUUAGAAGACGUCAUUCAAAAUGUAAAAACCUCAAAUGCCUUCGACGAUAUUGAAGAAACAUUGGUUGAAGUAGCAGAAAAUUUAAAGAAAAUCAGUCAACACCAGCAGAAGAAUCUGUUGAAUUUAAAAGAAAAAAGAAAACAAAUUGAAAAAGAAAUUCAAAAGACCCGUACAACAAUCAACAACCUUCUGGAAAAAUUACAAGGAGAUUUGAUAAAACAACUUUAUUCUAUUGAAGAAACCCAGAACUCGAAAAUGUGUCAGUUGUUGUCAUCACUUGAACAGAGAGAAAAAGAAAUAACCAAAUACCAGCAAAACCUUGCAAGCAUUAAACAACACGCCUCAGACCUUCAGAUUUUUCUUUCACUUAAGCAAAUCGAACAAGACAUUAAUAUAAAUGAUAAAUUCCUACAAUCCGUAGUGGAAGGUGGGCAAAUGAAGCAAUCUCAUCUAGAAUAUAGAGCCAACAUGGCUAUUCAAGACUUCAUGUCAAAUAUCAAAAGUUUUGGAGAAGUACAUAUCGAAAGUAAGCCAUGUGACAUCGUUCUUAGCAGGAAGAAGACCAAACAAGCACAGAUAAUGGUACCAACCGUUCAAACAAGAUUCAUUGAGAACAUAAAACUGAAGAAAAACAAGACAAUAACAACUGAAGGACAAAGCGUCUACGGGUGUUGCAUAAUACCAGAUGGUAGAAUGGCGUUUACUUAUUUCUUUGAUUUGGCAGUUAGAGUAUUCAGUGAUACAGGAACAAAAGACUUUGAGGUGAAGAUGCCGUAUUACGUAUACGAUAUACUGUAUAUUAGUAAGGACAAUACAUUAGCCGUAACAUCUGGUGGUUCAAGUCAGCAUUGUAUUUUUAUUAUAAACGUGGAAAGAAAACAAAUCACGAAAACAAUUACACUCGACUCGUAUAUUUAUGGCAUAGCACUUAGAGAAAAUAAUUUAAUAUAUACUAGGAAAAUAUUUAAUACAUUACGGUUAUAACAAAGGAAUCCGAAUGAUCAAUCUUUCCGAUGAGUCAAUUACUCAAAUAGUCCAAGAUAAAAUGCCAGAUUGUUGUUACAUUGCAACAUUUCGGAACCAAAUAUAUCACACAAACUCGGAAACACAUGCCGUUACUUGUUACGAUCAACAAGGUAAACCACAAUGGACAUUCAAAAAUGGCAGCGUUCUGAAGAAUCCUCGUGGUAUUGAUGUAGAUAUUGAUGGUAAUGUGUACGUGGCGGGGUUCAAGUCGAACAAUGUUGUAGUUAUCUCCUUUGAUGGACAACGCUAUAGAGAAGUGUUAGCAGCAAGUGAUGGGCUUGAUCUUCCUAUUUCACUUUGUUUUAACAAUUCAAAGCAGCAGUUGCUAGUGACUAACUGGAAUAAUGAGGCCCGGCUGUAUGCUUUGAUUUGAAAAGAUUUUUUAAUUAUGUAUUAUCUUUAAUUUUGUAUCGUCACAGCUACACAUUUUUCGAUGAAAUGAUUAGUUUGAGAGUUGACAUAAAUUAUGUUAUGGAAUCAUCUUUAUGUUUUUAAUGUUUUUAUUAGAUUUUU